rnacentral:lncRNA from 1 species
CGGCCCACUUGCGAUAAAACUACCAUUCUUUGUAACGUCAAGAACGCUGGUUGGCAGGUCCAGUAUUCCCUGCGCGUGGGUGGAAGCCGAUACAUAUCCACACACCGACAGCAGCCAGCGACCGUAAAAACAGGCACCGGCCACUUCAAUAUGGCGCCACAAGGACUGCUUGGGGAGUGGGGACCCAAUCCUAAUGUCAAGACGCACAAACCCUGCAGCUACGUAUCACAACGCCAUUGGCGGCGUGACGUGUACCGCUUCUCUAAUGCCAGAAGGCACACCAUAUUCUUUUCUUUAUUUUUCUUUCUUUAUUCCUUUGAUUCCGGC